UUAUAUCUCUUCAGUGUAAAAUACGUCAGGGUGGAUCCAACUCUCGCAUUCCUUACCUCAUUUGACUCGUCUGUCACCGAUACAGAGAUUUCUCUGAACAAUUUUACCUGCACUCUGUAGGCCUUGCUUGCCAUGAUUUUAGAAGUGACAAAUGGUGUAUUGUUUAUACUUACAGACUGUGUGAAAAUAUGUAAUGUUUAUACUUGUUAGCUGUGUGUCUAAUUAUAAGGUUUGAGAACAAAAAUGUUUUUAGUAAGAAAGCCUUGAGAAACUGGAGAUAAUGAAACACCUGCAGAUUUCAGAAAGCCCCUAAAGGCGGAUUAAUUAGGAAAGGCUUUGCCAAGCCAAGAAUGAUUUCAGGUGGUGUGGACAGAACAUCAGGUCCAAUGAACUGGAGACAUGAGAGGCGUGCACAGACUGAGCUAUCCAAUCACCUUGUUGUGAGCAUGUACCCUGAGCAAACUAAACUGUAUAAAAGUUAACUGAUUUAAAUAAUAAAUGGGACAUUGCUUUGAUCACAUUGAUCGUGUUGCUAUGUCUCUGUACCUCCUCAUCGAUAUCUGGUGCCCGAAACACAGGGACUUUGUCGAGUUCUGAGGGAUGUAAAGGCGAACAGAAAGAAGUGGGAGAAGCAGCCGCUAGAGGUGGCGUGUCUCCCGGAGCUACGAGAAAAUAGCUGCAUGCAGUACAAAGAGAAAUCUUGCCCUGAUCAGGGACUAGCCAGGUAGCUGCAGUGCCUGAAUAAGUACAGCUUUCACACCGGUUGGCUGAAGAGCGUGAGGACAUGGCAUCCUAACUGGUCUGGUAUGUUGCUCACUGGUGCCUCAGCCCGUAGUUGGUGUUGAUGCUGUUUCCCUGUUCUCUGUCUGUGCUAACCUAAUCAGGUCCUAUGAGGCUGAAGUUCAUGCCUCUUUUCACAAACUGGAUGCUGUCUGUGGGAUGUGUUCCCUGGUGAGAUGGAGCAGUAGAUGAGUAGAGUGGGAUUUCGAUGGGCACGGCCCUCUGACUACCACUGCCAUCCUCAACCUUCCACAUCCUACAGUUUUUCAGCUGUCUAGAAAAGGCUGUUCUUGGCAGACCUGGACUCACACUGAAGAAGUUUCUAACCCUUUCCUAAAUGCUGUAGGUGCUCAACUGUUCACUGGUGGAAUCAGCAGCAUUAGACACGACCAUACUACAGUGGUGAUUUGCUUUCAGUCAGCAGGCUGCAGCUGUGCAGAAGUCCUCUGUGGAGAAGCGAUGGCUCAAGAAGCCCUAAAGCCUCAUUCUUGCAAUAAGUUCAGUGUAAAGUUACUGAUGAGAACAGUUGAAUUGGUUGUAGCACAUGAAAAUCAGCCCAGCAUCAGAUCAAGUUUAUUCCUCAUUUGCAAUCUCCAGACCUGGCCGUAUUGUUCUCAGUAUUUUCAAGAUGGACACACUUGCAUAUUUUAGGCAUGGCCAACUAAUGCAUACACAGUAAACAGAGACAAAUCACUGUACUGUUUUAUAGUAGGAAAAGACAAGGAAUUCGUUUCUGAUAACAGGAAUAAAUAUUUACAUGGAGUGCUCUCAGGCAUCUCUUAAAGAAACAUCCUUCUUUGAACCAGCUUCAGCUGCACAAAGUUAACAAAAGUGUAGAAAAACAUGCAGGGAAGUUCUCUGCUUCACUGUGCUCUCCUCAAGGAAGAUCAGCUCUGACAUUCUUGUCUAACCAGGCCUCUCAGACCUCCGGGGUGAUGGUGCCACACCAUCUCCAAGCAAUUUUUGCUCUCUGUGCCCAGAGAAAGUUUUUUUUGAAGUGUAAUUUGAAUCUGCCUUGUUUCAGUUUAGAUAGAUUUGUUCCCUGGCCAUGAUGGAGUUGAGGAAUAGGACAUGACAAAAGAAGCUGCACAGAAGCUCUAGAAGAACAUGAUCCCUGUGUUUUGCCACCAGGUGUCAUUGCUGUGCUUAGGAAAGCUCUGAUUUUCAUCACUAAGCUUUGUGAAGUUCGGGUAUUGCCUGAACUAUUGCUUAACAAUCCUGAGCAGCUUCUGAACAGGAGAAUACAGCCAGAGAUCUUUAUACCUGUCUAAUGAAACAUUAGAAAGGCAAUAAAGAAGGUAUGGUUCAAUGAAUCUGAAAAGAAAAUGUCGGAAAAUAGGAAAGGGAUAUGGCAGAAAGUCAAGCCUUCAGGCACAAACGGGCAAACUUUCUUUUAGUGGCAUGCAGUGGAGAGGCCACAAGAAGAUGCCAUAAGAAAGCCUGUUGUCUUGUUCCCUCCCACUGAGCCUCAACGCCCCUGGUUAUGGGUGGGAUAUGACAGAGAGAACAGAUUUCUGAAGUCAUGCAGCAUUCAUCUGCAUCUAUAUUGUGGCAAUUUCCCAAACACUGCAUUACUGCAGGUUAGUGUACUGUCCCCCUGCUUGUCCUUUUCCUGGAUUCAGGUCAGUUUGUCUGUGAUUUGGUUUCCACAUGUCCCAUGUUGUACGCGCUCGUUGACUCCUUGCUUGCUUAUGGAGCAGUAGUGUUUGAUUGUAGACACGACUCUGCAGGAGGGCACCUGAAUUUUUUGAGUGGGAAAAAGCCUCUCUGAAUACCCCCAUCUUAGAGGUUUUGGUCAAGAAGUUGACCACUGACGGUGUUUUUUUCAGUGCAAGCUGGCAUACUGCACAGGGGUGCAGCUGCUGAGGGGAUCCACAGUGACCAGUUAUUCUGAAAAACCACAUCACCACCUGGGCUCAGGGCAGCUGCAGGAGUGCAGGAGUGGCAUUCCUAAAGUCCUUAGAGCUUGAGGAUAAGGUCAGGGACAUUUGAAGAGUUCCAGCGUUUCUUUGACUUAAACAGAACUUUAGAUUGCUUGGGCUGUGUUGUAGAUCCCACUGAAGAUCAUGGGUUCACCACACAGUUAUUGGUGCUGGUUCAUAUUAUGGUAAAGUAUCCAUUUACUCUGCAGGAGGUUUUAAAAUAUGGUUUGAGUAAGCCCAUAUUCUUCUUGUCAUAAGUUACUCUGAAAAGCAGAGAUGGAGUUCCAUGUGACUUCCAAAUCUAAAGCUGAAUAAACUUUGACCCAUCUUUGAAAUGUGUAGCUUAAUUGUCUCUCCAAGAAGGUGGCUGUGUUAGCUGGGACAACAGCAUCUACUACUGACAAUCCUAAAGCCAAAUAAUAAAAUGUUUGAUUCAUAUUCA